UUGCAGAGUGUUGCAGUCUUUUUACAGCUGUUGUUUUCGGUGCAUCUAAUGGAAAAUAAUGGAUGUGCGCAGUCACGGCCACAUUACGGAACAACUCCCUGGCGUGGUUACACCAUUGGUUCAUAUUCUUAAACGCUCCGGCUUGACACUGGCGCAGCAUGUCCCUGGAGCUGUCAGAUACCAUCCAGGUGUUGGGAGCUACAAAGAUGGCUUCUUUGUGUGGAGAAACAUCGGGUUCCUCUGCUCCACAAAGUGAAGAGCGGCUGUCGUGUGAGUUCGAAUGGGGAACCUGGUAAUGAAGAACUGCCUGGUAGUGGUGAUGAUACGUCGCUACAAAUGACCCGGGUGUGCCAUCGUCUGAAGAAUGAAGAAUUUCAAAAGUAUACAUCUGAAUUCUUACAAAGAGUGCUUUACACACUUCUUUCUACAAAGCUUGAUAUAAAAAACAAAGAGUUGAAUGCUAAUGUCCUUCAAUGUGUUAAGAGAUGUGUAUGUCAAGAACAUGAGUGAAAUUAUUGCAGAUCUGAUGUUUUCAGAUCAGAAACGGAGGCCUGGUGGCUUCUGCAGUGUGUAUUCCAAAAUACAACAUGUUUUGCACAGAACCUGUGGUAACACCAUCUUGCUGAUUACGCAAGCAAAUGUUUUUCCUCUGUUAGAUCGGAUCGCCCAGUGUAGUUUGCGUGGUUUUAGACAUGGGGAGCAGAAGGGGAUUAUGAAUGCUUUUUCAGAUGCCUCAAAGUUUCUCAGCAAUGUUAGGGUGGUAGUUACGUGUACCGAACUAAUUUUUUGCACCAACAUUUAAUUGUUGAUUGCAAACAGGAGCCAGUAACGUGUGUGUACUGCGAUGUUUCUGUGUUUGAAAAUCUGCUGUUGAAAUAAAGUGGUUCGCAUUUCA